rnacentral:rRNA from 1 species
CCUACGGGCGGCAGCAGUGAGGAAUAUUGGUCAAUGGACGGAAGUCUGAACCAGCCAUGCCGCGUGCAGGAAGACGGCUCUAUGAGUUGUAAACUGCUUUUGUACAAGGGUAAACCUGAAUACGUGUAUUCAGCUGAAAGUACUGUACGAAUAAGGAUCGGCCAACUCCGGGCCAGCAGCCGCGGUAAUACGGAGGAUCCAAGCGUUAUCCGGAUUUAUUGGGUUUAAGGGGUGCGUAGGCGGAUUGAUAAGUUAGAGGGGAAAUGUCCGAGCUUAACUCGGGAACUGCCUCUAAUACUGUUGAUCUAGAGAGUAGAUGCGGUAGGCGGAAUGUAUGGUGGAGCGGUGAAAUGCUUAGAGAUCAUACAGAACACCGAUUGCGAAGGCAGCUUACCAAUCUAUAUCUGACGUGGAGGCACGAAAGCGUGGGGAGCAAACAGGAUUAGAUACCCCGGUAGUC